AAUAUGCAAGUAUGAUGAUUCAAUUAGAUGUAUGAAAGGAGAAAUCUAUUUUUUGAGGCAAACUGUCUGACUUGCUAAUU
rfam:Medicago truncatula strain A17 chromosome 3, whole genome shotgun sequence.